rnacentral:miRNA from 1 species
CACUUGUUCAGGGAAGAGUCGGU